rnacentral:ncRNA from 1 species
UGAAAAAUGUCGACGGAGAAGAGUAAAUUAUCUCAAACUUCUAGAGAGGAAUUUUCUUGGCUGAAAAAAAUUCUAAGUCUAUGAGUAAUUGAAGCUACUCCCGAGUGUAGUUAAUACCUACCGGUUCAUACCGUUAUCUUUUUGAGUUGCUGAUUGUUAUAAUCAGAAUUAGGGUGGUACCGCGAUGAAUGAUUCGUCCCUUAC